rnacentral:misc_RNA from 1 species
GGGCGAGAGACGAGCGGGAAACCUAUCAAUCGAAACUUUUGAACUUCUUCAGCACCUGCAAGAGCAAAAGGACUAAUGGCGAAAUCCCACUUCCAUUAGCACGAAUCUAAACUCUCUCUUCAAUUUUCCAGGUAACCAAUCACACCACAAGCCCCACCAGUCUACUCCCUUCUUCCGCCGUUUCUUUUCUACCCUUUUUAAUCAACUCCCAAACCCUAGGGUUACAAACUUCCAAUUGAAACCCUUGCACCAUGCCAAAACCAAAUUGAAAUGACUAAUAACAGAGAACCGCCUCCAAACAAGAUCCACACCGUCCAGGCAGAGCGAAACCUAGGAGCCAACUGGGAGGUAGAUCUCGCUACGAAGCUCGAAGACUACCUGUUGAAGAUUUGCUCCGGUGAAAUUACCGGCGCCGAAGACUAUAAUACUAACGCCUCUGUCAAUUUCGCCGAAGCUGCUUUGCUGCUUCAAGGUUCGGUUCAGGUGUAUAGCAGGAAGGUCGAGUAUUUAUAUAACUUGGUUUUGCAUGCUUUGGAGUUUCUUUCUGAAAAGAGGCAGCAGGAGCAAUCAGAGGGCACAUCAGUCCAGCCUGAGCAAAGUGGUUCCCAUGCAGUUUCUGAUGAAGAAAAUGAUCAAUUUUGGUGCGUGGAUGUCCCUGUGGAAGCAAGGAAUUCCUUAGAUGCUUCAACCAGUAAAGAUGCUUCUUUCUAUCACUUUGUGAAACCACCAGCAAAUCUUAUUGUCCUUGAAGGUGAUUGCUUAGAUACCAGUGGUGAUGGUGGAGAAUUAGAAUCAUACCUGUUAGCCACCAAUGAUCUUUACAGGGAUUUUAUUCUUUUAGACCCUUGUGAUGCUGUAGCAGUGAAUGAUUUUUUGAAGGGAGAUGAAACUGGAAAAUUACCAAAUAGUACUUAUAGGGGAAGCUCAACUCAUAAGAACUUUCAAUCCCCCACAAGACGUUCCGGGGGGACUGCACGCAAGUCAUCUCUCGGAAAGAACCUGGAUGCAAAUCUCAACCAACCUUCCAUGGCUGAUUGCAGUUUUGGAGUUAAUAACAGUACCGUGGGGCCAGAUCUUCCUGCUUAUGAUAAUUAUGAAGACGGGAACCAUGACUUUGAUAUGGAUGAUGGAUAUUCAGAACCUCGGAACUUGGAGGAUUCAGAAGAUGAUGACAGCAACGAUGAUCCGUGGAAACCCUUAAAUCCCCAUGAACCUGGGAACUUAAAAAUGAAGCCUUUCGGAAAAGGUUGUUAAAGAACUUAUUUCUCUUGUUUGUUUUCUUUCUCCUUAUGAUUUCUUUGUGCAUCUAAUUAUCACUCGUCUUGGAUUUGUCUCAACAAGCAGUAAAACCCUACAGAAGGAAUGGUAUAAAUUCUGCCAAGCAGACCUCUAUAACUACUCUGUUUCCACUUGCUAAGAUGGAUGGUACUAUCAGUCCUGAGCUCAUAGAAAUGUGGAAAGCACGUCACAAAAGAUCUGAAACAAACUCCCAGUCUCCUCCUUUAUAUGAAAAGCUAAGGCAAUCCCUUAGUGAUGGAGGUAACAGCGCUAAUGAAACUUUUGGUAAUGCUGAGAAUGAUAAUGAAGCUAAUGGAUAUGAUGGUGGAAUUCCUGAUUUUGAACAGUCUGAUGAUGAGAUGCCAGAAAGUAUGUAUAUGGAUGAAGAUUUACCUCAACAUGAAAAGUAUGAUGAUAGCUCUACUCAUUUUGACACCAAUGAAGCUUUUAAACAUGAAGAGCCGAGUUCCCAAGCAAGCCUAGAAGAUCUAUGUCUCUCUCACCUAGUAAGCAUAAAUUUUUUUGGCAUUUAGCUAGGGUCAUAAACCAAGUGCAUUUGCAUUGGAUUCAGAUAUACUCUAAUACUGGCAAUCAAUCUAAUCUAUUACUUUAAUUACCUU